UACAUGGGGGUGCAAACGUUGCUCGGAAUUAUUGGGCGUAAAGCGCACGUAGGCGGUUCGUUAAGUCGGAUGUGAAAGCCCUCGGCUCAACUGAGGAAGUGCACCCGAAACUGGCGAGCUUGAGUACGAAAGAGGAUCGCGGAAUUCCCGGUGUAGAGGUGAAAUUCGUAGAUAUCGGGGGGGAACACCGGUGGCGAAGGCGGCGAUCUGGGUCGAUACUGACGCUGAGGUGCGAAAGCGUGGGGGAGCAAACAGG
rnacentral:rRNA from 1 species